UCUUUAUUAUAAAAAGAAACGUACAAAACACUUAAUAUAAUAUUUUGAGAGUAACAUUUCAUAAAAAUAAACUAUUGUUUCUAGGUGAUUAUCAUGAAGUUAUUAUUUGUUCUUAGAAACUAAUAUUUGUACGAUCAAUACAGUGUAUUAAACUGUGUCUAAGAAUACACUUUGAACAUCGAGUAUCAUAUUGCAUUAACGAAAAGUAACAUAUUAUCUUAUACAUAACUUAUAAUUCUAAAGAGGUACAUAAUCCAGUCUAGUUCAUAAAAGACAAACUUACAAUUACUUGUUAAUCUUCUUUAACGAAUAAUAUAUUAAACAUGUUAAGAAUUAAUGAAUAGAAAAUUCUUUGUACCUCUGACUUACGGAAUAAAGAAACAAAGUAUACUACCUUGUUCCUAGCAAUAAUACCAAAAAGUAUGUAAACAAAAAAAAAAAAGACAAA